rnacentral:siRNA from 1 species
UUGCAUAGCACUUGGCCACUCUC